rnacentral:rRNA from 1 species
UACGUAGGUGGCAAGCGUUGUCCGGAAUCACUGGGCGUAAAGCGCGCGCAGGCGGCGAUCUACGUCUGGGGUGAAAGCCCGGAGCUCAACUCCGGGACUGCCUUGGAUACGGGAUCGCUUGAGGAUUGGAGAGGCAAGGGGAAUUCCACGUGUAGCGGUGAAAUGCGUAGAUAUGUAGAGGAAUACCGAUGGCGAAGGCAGCCCCCUGGGAUAACACUGACGCUCAUGCACGAAAGCGUGGGGAGCAAACAGG